rnacentral:rRNA from 1 species
AAGAAGGCCUUACGGGUUGUAAAGCUCUUUCAGACGGAAGAAAUCGCAUCUUCUAAUACAGGGUGUGGAUGACGGUACCGUAAGAAGAAGCACCGGCUAACUACGUGCCAGCAGCCGCGGUAAUACGUAGGGUGCGAGCGUUAAUCGGAAUUACUGGGCGUAAAGCGUGCGCAGGCGGUGAUGUAAGACAGAUGUGAAAUCCCCGGGCUCAACCUGGGAACUGCGUUUGUGACUGCAUCACUCGAGUACGGCAGAGGGAGGUGGAAUUCCGCGUGUAGCAGUGAAAUGCGUAGAUAUGCGGAGGAACACCGAUGGCGAAGGCAGCCUCCUGGGCCAGUACUGACGCUCAUGCACGAAAGCGUGGGGAGCAAACAGGAUUAGAUACCCUGGUAGUCCACGCCCUAAACGAUGUCAACUAGUUGUUCGGUGAGGAGACUCAUUGAGUAACGCAGCUAACGCGUGAAGUUGACCGCCUGGGGAGUACGGCCGCAAGGUUAAAACUCAAAGGAAUUGACG